rnacentral:rRNA from 1 species
UACGUAGGAUGCGAGCGUUGUCCGGAUUCACUGGGUGUAAAGGGAGCGCAGGCGGGUCGGUAAGUCAUUGGUGAAAUUUUCGGGCUCAACCCGAAGACUGCCACUGAUACUGCCGAUCUUGAGUGUGGAAGAGGUUGGUGGAAUUCAUGGUGUAGCGGUGAAAUGCGUAGAUAUCAUGAAGAACACCGAUGGCGAAGGCAGCCAACUGGUCCAUUACUGACGCUCAUGCUCGAAAGCGUGGGGAUCAAACAGG